CUUUCCAAUUUCCUUUUCUUCUUUGUCUCUCUCAUUUUUCUCCUUUCCUUCUUCAACUUUGAUUUUCCAAAUCAAACUCUACAAAACUUUUAGUAAGUGAAAAUCAAAUUCUUCUUUUAAGCUUGAAAGAUUUGGGCUUUCUUAAUCAAGGAAAACAAAGGUUCAUCCAAAGGCAAGGAAGUGGUAAGAGAAAAAGAAUAGGAUUACUUUGUUAUCCUAUAACUUCUGGUAAGUAUUUAAUAGACUAAACUUUGUGUAUAUUGAGUAGGGACUGCUGUUUGAUUAUUUGAUAAUUUCUUGGUUGACUGAGUUGAUAUUAGUUAUGUUUUUGGCUUGUUAUAAAGUGAAUUGAUUGUGAUGUGUUGUGAAGUGAAUUGAUUGUGAUGUGUUGUGAAGUGAAAUGAUUGUGAUUAAGGAUUGAUGACUUUUGUAUGGAUAUUGUGUGAUCGGGAAAGCUGAGCCGGGCGGAUAGCUACCCGAGUAUGUGAGAUGGCAAGACUGAGCCGGGCGGAUAGUCUUGUCAAGUGGUUACUGAAAUUUAAAAAUGUGAGGAAAUGUAAGGAUGAGUCAUCUGAUCCUAAUUUGAUAGAAAUAAUGUGGAAUUGAAUUAUUUGACUUGGUUGAGUUUGAGAUUAUUUGCAUUACGUGAGAUGAAAUUAUAUGUUUAUGAGAAUAACUGAAAUGGUUGAUUUUGUGAUUGUUAGUUAAAUGUUGGUAUAAUUUUCUGUAUUGAUAAAGAUUUGAUAAUUCUAGCCUAAUAUACUAUAGUUUAGUAAAUUAAAUGCUUAUUGAGUCGCUAGCUCAUUCCUUAGCAAUUUUUUUUUUCAGGUUAGUGCAGUUGUAGAUAGCCUUAGCUGUGCAUUGCUCUUUUUGCAUCAGUCAAUAUUAUCAGGUGGGCCAGAGGAGUUAUCUAAAGCAUUGGGGCAUUUUGGGAACUUGUGUGAAUUAAACUACUGUAUAAAUAUUUCUUAUAUAUAUUAAGUAUGUCAUGCCACUUAAAUUGUAUGAAUGUAUAUUGUAACUAAGUAGUAAAUUAUGUUUAUAAAGUUAUAUAUAUAUAUAUAUUGCUAUUCAAUGGGAAGUUUGAGUUGGGGUGUUAUAGUUUUUGGUAUCAGAGCGGGGAUUAGACCAUUGGGACAUAAGUUUGAGUACUUAUAUUUGUGUUUAUGUUAUGUUAUAUGAAGGUGUGUAUGUGUUGUGAUAUGUUAAAGUGAGUUGGAAUUUUUAAUAUGUUCCAAUAUGUUAAAUGCUUGUGUGAUUGAAUUGAUGGGAAUAGAGGGGAUUAAGAGCAUAACAUGCAAGCAUAUAGUAAUUAUGCACAACCAUUUAUUGUUGUGAAGUUUGUUAAUGAUAUAGGCAUGGAUGAGCACUCCACUGGCCCAGUAGGUUCACAUUCGUCAGUUCAUGCACAUCAUAUUGAACAAGAACAGAUGCAUGAAAAUGAACAGUCACAAGGAAAAGCUGAAGGGUAUGCUCAGCAAAUAGCUGAAGAGUUAAGAAGAUUAGCUCAACAACAGCCACCACCUCCACUAAACGUACCUGCAUUGGAUGCAAACUUUGGAAAGUUAAGAAAGCAUGGCGGGAAAGAGUUUGAGGGGACAACUGAUCCAAUUGUAGCAGAGGAAUGGCUAAAGUCUGUUAAAGGUGUGUUUACACAAUUUAAUACCCAACCGACAACCCAAAUGAAAGUGAGGUAUGCAACCUCAUUAUUUCUUAAGGAUGCUAGAAACUGGUGGGAGACAGUCCCAGGUAGCCAAACACAACCAUUGACAAUGACAUGGGAAGAAUUCUUAAAGGAGUUCAAGAUGAAGUAUAUGCCACCAAUAUAUCAAGAGAGGAAGAAACUUGAAUUCCUUGAAUUGAAACAAAAUGAGAUGUCUGUUGCUGACUAUGAAUUACAAUUUACAAGGUUAUCUAGGUAUGCACCAGAGGAAGUGGCAACUGAUGAACUGAAGAGAAAUAGAUUUGAGAGGGGUUUGAGAUUGGAGAUUCGUGAAAAGUUGGCAGUGCAACCACCUACCUUUAUUGCUUUAUUGGAAGCUGCAACAAGAGCAGAAGAAUUAUUCUUAGAAAGAAAUAUAUUAGAAGCAAAGAAAAAGAAGAUAAUUGGGACAUUUACUCCAUCUUUCUCUAGAGGUACCUCAUUUACACCUAGGGGAGGAUCAGGAGGUCAGCGAGGAGGUUUUAGAGGAAGGGGUAGUUAUCAGUUUAGAGGGCCAAGUAGUAUAACUUUGGGUAGAAGUGGUGGAUCAGUGAACAUGCGAGGUAAUUCUGGGUUUACUGGUAGAGGAUAUAGACCCGUUUGUGGCACUUGUGGAAGGACCCAUUCAGGAGAGUGUUGGGGACCGAGAGUGCAGGUUUGUUAUAGAUGUGGGAAACCUGGGCAUUAUGCCAAUGAGUGUGUGGUAGGUAGAGGAGCAUCGAGUACCUACCAUUCAGGAGGACAAAGUAGUGUUGGGGAUAAUGUAGUACCUACAACGACUGGUCGUGGUAGAGGUAGGGGAGGUAGAAGUGUAGCUACAGCAGCAUAUGUCCAUAUUGAAGAUGCGAACCAAUCCUUACCGCAGGCAAGAGUGUAUGCUGUUACGAGGCAGGAAGCAACUACUUCUCCAGAGAUAAUAACUGGUAUAAUUCCUAUUUGUAGGCAUGAUGCAUAUGUGUUAGUUGACCCCGGAUCUACAUGUUCAUUCAUUUCAUGUGAUUUUGCAUUGAAAAUGCAUUAUGCCAUUGAAUCUUUAGGACAUGAUAUUUGUGUUUCGAUGCCUGCUGGAGGAGUAAUAAUGGUGAAUACCGUAGUUCGGGCUUGUUCUGUGAUGAUUUGUGGUACAAAUAUGUCAGUAGACCUAAUUGUGAUCAAUUUGCGAGAUUUUGAUGUGAUAUUGGGAAUGGAUUGGUUAUCUAGAAAUCAUGUCAUAGUUGACUGUUUAACGAAGGAAGUAAAAAUGGUUAUAGAUGGGGAAAUAAAAAUAGUGUUCACGGGUGACAGGAAAAUUGUACCUACAUGUUUGAUUUUUGCUGCUACUGCUUUUCAUUUAAUGAAAUUUGGGUGUGAUGCUUAUCUUGUGAAUGUGGUAGACACUGGAAUUGUUAGUCCAGGGGUUUCAGAGGUACCAAUAGUCAAAGAAUUCCCAGAUGUAUUUCUAGAAGAAUUACCUGGAUUGCCACCUCAACGAGAAGUGGAUUUUGAAAUUGAAACUAUUCCAGGAGUUGCUCCUAUUUCUAUAGCACCUUAUAGAAUGGCACCGGCAGAAUUACAGGAAUUGAAAAAGCAACUUGAGGAUUUAUUGGAGAAAGGUUAUAUUCGACCUAGUAUAUCACCGUGGGGAGCUCCAGUGUUGUUUGUGAAGAAAAAGGAUGGAAGUAUGAGACUUUGCAUUGAUUAUAGAAAGUUGAACCAAGUUACUAUCAAGAACAAAUAUCCUUUACCUCGCAUUGAUGAUUUGCUUGAUCAACUCAGAGGGGCAACUGUAUUCUCCAAAAUUGAUUUGAGAUCUGGGUAUUGGCAAUUAAAGGUUAGAGAGACUUCUAUACCUAAAACGGCAUUUCGGACACGAUAUGGUCAUUAUGAGUUUGUUGUUAUGCCAUUUGGUUUGACCAAUGCAUCUGCAGCAUUCAUGUCUUUGAUGAAUAAUAUUUUUCAACCGUAUCUUGAUCAAUUUGUGAUAGCCUUCAUUGAUGAUAUUCUGAUAUACUCCAGAAAUUCUGAAGACCAUGAACAUCAUUUAAGAACAAUAUUACAAACUUUGAGAGAAAAACAGUUAUAUGGUAAGUUUAGUAAAUGUGAGUUUUGGAUGAAUAACAUUGCAUUUUUGGGGCAUAUUAUAUCUGCACAAGGUGUUCAACCGGACCCAUCUAAGGUAAAGGCUAUUCAGGAGUGGGAAUCACCAAGAAAUAUUUCAGAAGUUCGUAGUUUUCUGGGAUUGGCUGGGUACUAUAGAAGAUUUGUGAAGAACUUCUCCAUUUUAGCAAAGCCAUUGACUAAUCUGUUAAAGAAACAAGUGACUUUUCAGUGGAAUGAUAAAUGUCAAGCUAGUUUUGAGGAGUUGAAAAAUAGAUUGAUUACAGCACCUAUACUUACAUUACCUAUACAAGGAGGGGAAUAUGUAGUCUAUACAGAUGCUUCACUUAAUGGUUUGGGUUGUGUAUUGAUGCAGAAUGGAAGGGUUAUUGCUUAUGCUUCUAGACAACUUAAACCUCAUGAACGAAAUUAUCCUACACAUGAUUUAGAAUUGGUUGCAAUUAUACAUGCUUUGAAAACUUGGAGACAUUAUCUUUAUGGAGAGACAUUUCGGAUAUUCACUGACCACAAAAGCUUAAAGUACAUACCUACACAGAAAGAGUUGAACCUCAGGCAACGAAGAUGGAUGGAAUUAUUGAAGGAUUAUGAUUGUACCAUUGAUUAUCACCCAGGAAAAGCAAAUGUUGUGGCAGAUGCACUUAGUAGGAAGACUUUGGAAAGGGUUGCAGGUAUGAUUUCAUAUCAGAUGAGUUCCUUAAUUUCGCUAAGAGCUAUGGAUAUGCAUUUUUCUAUAAAGAAUGGGGUAUUAUUGACUACAAUGAAGACUAGUCCCCAGAUACUAGAUGAGAUCAAACAUGCACAAGUAGUGAUGCAUACUUAAAGAAGUUACAGAAGAGUGCAAGAUGGUAGACAGUGACUAAUCGAGCGAGAUGAUGGAAUGUGGGUUAUGAAAACCAGGGUAUAUGUACCUAAUGUAGCCGCAUUGAAACAAAAGAUUUUUUGGGAGGCUCACAAUUCUCCUUAUUCAAUGCACCCAGGGAGUACAAAAAUGUAUAACAAUUUGAAGCCACAUUAUUGGUGGUCAGGCAUGAAGAGGGAGUUGCAGAAUAUGUAGCUAAAUGCCUAACUUGUCAACAAGUGAAAGCAGAACAUCAAUCACCUGCAGGUAAAUUACAGUCUUUAAUUAUACCUGAGUGGAAAUGGGAAAGAAUUACUAUGGACUUUGUUGUUGGUUUGCCUCGCACUUUUAGGAGAAAUGAUGCUAUUUGGGUAAUAGUUGAUAGGUUAACAAAAUCAGCGCACUUUUUACCUAUUCAACAGAAUGAUUCAUUGGAUAAGCUAGCCAACUUGUAUGUGAAAGAAAUUGUUAGGUUGCAUGGUGUACCUAUCUCCAUUGUUUCAGACAGGGAUCCUCGGUUUACAUCUCAUUUCUGGAAGAGCUUACAAGUGGCAAUGGGAACUAAAUUGCAUUUCAGUACUGCUUUUCAUCCUCAAACAGAUGGGCAAUCUGAGAGAACUAUUCAAACUUUUGAAGACAUGUUACGGGCUUGUGCAUUAGAGUAUAGCGGAAAUUGGGAUGAACAGGUACCACUUAUGGAAUUUGCUUAUAAUAAUAGUUUUCAUUCUAGUAUUGGUAUGCCACCAUACGAGGCAUUAUAUGGGAGAAAAUGUAGAAGCCCUAUAUGUUGGGAUGUAGAAGGGUUGAGACAAUUGGAAGGUCCUGAAAUUAUUCAAGAAACAGUAGACAAGAUACAAGUUGCGAAGCAGUGUAUCAAGGCCGCACAAGAUAGACAGAAAAGCUAUGCAGAUAAACACAUAAGGGAAAUUGAGUAUGAAGUUGGGGAUAAGGUUUUCUUGAGAGUAUCACCAUGGAGGGGUAUCCUUCGAUUUGGUAAACAAGGUAAACUAAGUCCUCGAUAUAUCGGGUCGUAUGAGAUUUUAGAGCGGGUUGGUCCUUUAGCCUAUAGACUUGCAUUACCCCCAGAGUUAGCUCAAGUACAUAAUGUUUUCCAUGUUUCUAUGCUUCGACGAUAUCGAUCUGAUCCUAGCCAUGUCAUCAAGAUACCAGAAAUUGAAGUUUCUGAGAAACUCACAUAUGUUGAAGAACCGAUUCAGAUAUUAGACCGACAGGUUAGAAAAUUAAGAAACAAGGAAAUUCCUAUGGUAAAGGUGAAAUGGAGUCAACAUUCAUCUAAGGAAGCAACUUGGGAAGUAGAGAAGCAUAUGAUGGAUAAAUACCCGAGCUUAUUUGGCAUGUCUGUUGGCGAUUAGUUAAUUUCAAGGACGAAAUUUUUUAAGUGGGUAGGAAUUGUCACAACCAAAUUUAUUUACUUCUUUUUAUUAAUAAUUAAUAUUCAUUAGCAUGUCAUUAAACAUGUCAUUUGCAUCAUGAUUAUAUAUGAUCUAUUUUAUUAUAUUAUGUGGUAGAUAAAUAAAUUAUUUAGUUACAUAUUGAUUUAAUUGAAAAGUAAUGAUUUUGGACUAAAUUGAAAAGUUAGAAAGAAAGAGGAUUAAAUUGUAAUUUGCCUAUUUCCACACCAAUAUACCACCUCUUUCAUUUGUUCUUAUCUACGUAUGCUUUCCAAUUUCCUUUUCUUCUUUGUCUCUCUCAUUUUUCUCCUUUCCUUCUUCCAAAUCAAAGUCUACAAAACUUUUAGUAAGUGAAAAUCAAAUUCUUCUUUUAAGCUUGAAAGAUUUGGGCUUUCUUAAUCAAGGAAAAUAAAGGUUCAUCCAAAGGCAAGGAAGUGGUAAGAGAAAAAGAAUAGGAUUACUUUGUUAUCCUAUAACUUCUGGUAAGUAUUUAAUAGACUAAACUUUGUGUAUAUUGAGUAGGGACUGCUGUUUGAUUACUUGAUAAUUUCUUGGUUGACUGAGUUGAUAUUAGUUAUGUUUUUGGCUUGUUAUAAAGUGAAUUGAUUGUGAUGUGUUGUGAAGUGAAUUGAUUGUGAUGUGUUGUGAAGUGAAAUGAUUGUGAUUAAGGAUUGAUGACUUUUGUGUGGAUAUUAUGUGAUCGGGAAAGCUGAGCCGGGCGGAUAGCUACCCGAGUAUGUGAGAUGGCAAGACUGAGCCGGGCGGAUAGUCUUGUCAAGUGGUUACUGAAAUUUAAAAAUGUGAGGAAAUGUAAGGAUGAGUCAUCUGAUCCUAAUUUGAUAGAAAUAAUGUGGAAUUGAAUUAUUUGACUUGGUUGAGUUUGAGAUUAUUUGCAUUACGUGAGAUGAAAUUAUAUGUUUAUGAGAAUAACUGAAAUGGUUGAUUUUGUGAUUGUUAGUUAAAUGUUGGUAUAAUUUUCUGUAUUGAUAAAGAUUUGAUAAUUCUAGCCUAAUAUACUAUAGUUUAGUAAAUUAAAUGCUUAUUGAGUCGCUAGCUCAUUCCUUAGCAAUUUUUUUUUUCAGGUUAGUGCAGUUGUAGAUAGCCUUAGCUGUGCAUUGCUCUUUUUGCAUCAGUCAAUAUUAUCAGGUGGGCCAGAGGAGUUAUCUAAAGCAUUGGGGCAUUUUGGGAACUUGUGUGAAUUAAACUACUGUAUAAAUAUUUCUUAUAUAUAUUAAGUAUGUCAUGCCACUUAAAUUGUAUGAAUGUAUAUUGUAACUAAGUAGUAAAUUAUGUUUAUAAAGUUAUAUAUAUAUAUAUAUUGCUAUUCAAUGGGAAGUUUGAGUUGGG
rnacentral:lncRNA from 1 species